ACAGUGGGUACAGGAGAAGAGGGAAAGGCUCAUGGGACAGUGUCAGGAGGCAGAGGGAUACCUGAACUACCGGAACCUCCCUGCACAUGCUCUUGAACAAGUCCGCAUAGCCGUUGGCAGGUCAAGGCUGAUCACAAGUAACUCGACAUCCCCGCUGGCCAGGUUUGAAGUUCUGUGCCGGGAAGCCAUGUUGGCUGGGUGCCACCUCCUCUGAGCAGCUCUGGGACUCCAUCCGCCAGGGGAACUUACCAUCAGUGCGGAGACUGGCCCGGUCUCGGCUGGUCGACUUGAACAAACCGUUUCCGCUGCACCAGGGAGAGACAGAGGACUGUGGGAGGGAGGAACUGCACAAUCCAACCUUCCUACUGUGGGCAUGUAGGACAGCUGAUGUGGAGACUGUGGAGGUGCUGGUUGCAGCAGGUGCCGAUGU